rnacentral:tRNA from 1 species
CUUCGCGUCGUCUAAAGGUUAGGACGUUGCUUUUUCAAAGCAAAAAUAGGGGUUCGAUUCCCCUCGUGGGAA